rnacentral:rRNA from 1 species
UACGAAGGGGACUAGCGUUGUUCGGAAUUACUGGGCGUAAAGCGCACGUAGGCGGCUUUGUAAGUUAGAGGUGAAAGCCCGGGGCUCAACUCCGGAACUGCCUUUAAGACUGCAUCGCUUGAAUCCAGGAGAGGUGAGUGGAAUUCCGAGUGUAGAGGUGAAACUCGUAGAUAUUCGGAAGAACACCAGUGGCGAAGGCGGCUCACUGGACUGGUAUUGACGCUGAGGUGGCGAAAAGCGUGGGGAGCAAACAGG